UGUGGGAGCGGGAGCGCGGCUCCGUAGAAGGAAAAAAAAAAAAACAGAAGCAGUGAUCUCGGUGUGACAGCUCAGAGCUGUCCACGUCAACACACCGAGCGAGCACGGCGGCAGCGAUGGACUCCGCGUCUCUGGAACCUUCCCUCUACACAGUGAAAGCUGUUUUCAUUCUCGACAAUGAUGGCAACAGACUUCUGUCAAAGUACUAUGACCCGGAGCUUUACCCCUCCAUGAAGGAGCAGAAGAACUUUGAGAGGAACGUUUUCAACAAGACACACAAAGCAGACAAUGAGAUAGCUUUCCUGGAGGGGAUGACAAUCGUCUAUAAGAGCAGCAUCGAUCUCUUCUUCUACGUGGUGGGGAGUGCUCAGGAGAACGAGCUGAUGCUGAUGUCAGUACUGAACUGCCUGUUUGACUCCCUCAGUCAGAUCCUCAGGAAAAAUGUGGAGCGGAGGUGUUUACUGGAUAACAUGGAAGGAGUGUUCCUGGUUGUGGAUGAAAUCAUUGAUGGAGGGGUGAUUCUGGAGAGUGACCCCCAGCAGGUCCUACAGAAGGUCAGCUACAGGCUAAUGUCUGAGCCAGCCUAUGGCUUCGUCCUGUUUGAUUACAUCACUGGUAACCUAGAGGGACAGACAGACAAGAGCCAGCUGCUGUAGACAGAAAGACAGAGGGCGGAUGAGAACCCAUUAUCUGAACAAAGCGUGGCGCAGGUUCUGCAGUCGGCCAAGGAGCAGAUCAAAUGGUCCAUACUGAAAUGACAAGGACCAGACAAAUUUAGGAUUCUCCAGGAAGCUUCUAGAGAAUAUUUCUAAUCCCAAAGUUAUUUUUUUUAGUAACAGACUAAAGGGAAGGUCAUUACAAGCCUGUUGGAUUCUAGGCUGCUUUAUAUAGCGAUUAACCAAUAGGGUUUUGUUUCUCUGAGCAAGGGCAUUUUGUUACAUUGUGUGUGACAGGUAAUGCAAACAGUUGGUUUGAGAUUGAAGUUACUCAUUUACAUUUAACAGGCCGAAUGACAUCAAAGUGUGUCAGACAUGAAUAAUGAAGACUGAAGAGUCCGUCUGAGAUUCACUGUAAAACUGAGCAGUUACCAAAUACUACGCUAACCAGUGAAAAUACUGCAAGCCUCAGUACUGAUCAGUGAUUUAUUACUUCUAAUUUGGAGGAGCAGGAUCUUCCAGUCGUAUUCACUGAAAACAGAAUAUGAUUGUAGGAUUUAUUUAAGCAGUUUUUCAUGUUGGUAAUGUACAAAAUGUUAUAUAUGGUUUUUACCUAAAAGGUUACGCAUUGUUACAAAUAACUUCUUGUUACCAACAUUUCCAAAAAAAAAAAAAAAAAACACAAGGCUGUAACUUGUAAAUUGUUACAAUCUAAACACUAAAAUCAAUAAGGAUAUUGUGGAAAAUAAGAAUCAACACACUCUGGUAUCAUUUGUGCGCUGAACUGCUCAGUUUAACAAAGUGUGUUGUUCUGACUGUGAGUGGGCUCCUCAAACGACAUUAAUGUGUUUUGUACAGCUUAUUUAAAGACUGUAAAUGAAUGUAAUGAUACUUUAUGACACUAAAUGAAUAUUAGCAGUAAGAGGCAGUAUGUUACUGUUGCACUGUUAGGACUUUUAUUAAAACUCCCUUAAAACCAUGAAGGUAAAUUAACAUCUAUACAUUUAAUUGAAUUUAUAAUCAAAGGGACCUUAAAGAAUAUUAAAGUAUGCAGGAUUUUGUUGCCAGAAUAAUAAAGAAUAAUGUCUAUUUUAUUGGUAUGUUGUGAGCUAAAGGUGUUAAUAAGAUAUUAAAUAUUUUAGUUGAAAGAAAAGAAAAAGGCCAAAGACAAACUAAUUAUUUUGUUUACAUUGGAUUGUAUUGUAAACAAUCUGUCACUUUGUCCACCAUUUGUGAGGCUGAUAAUAAAAGUGUAUAUUUGUCCUUGU